AAUAUGUCUCUUUCUAUAUUAAACAUGGAUCAGUGUUUGAAGUGUCCAUAGGAACAGUAUAUCAACAGAUAUCAAACAUACUUCCUCAAAAAAGUUGUGGCCUUUCAUGCUUAUGAAGAUGCCUUGAGAAUUGCAAUUAUUGACUUGGGUCUGUGAUUCUCUUCUCUUAUAGCAGUUGUAUGCUGUGUCUUCUUGAAGUACAGGGACACUCCUAUAGUCAAGGCCAAUAAUGAAACACUCAGUUAUGUGCUAAUUAUCUCUCUCCCUCAUUUUCUUUUAUAUGUUUCUUGUUCUACAUUGUUCUUCCCACUAUGGCCAGCUGCAUUCUGCAAUAGACAACAUUUGCCAUCUUGUGCACUGUGGCUAUUCAUACUGUCUUUACAAAGGUAAUUACUAUAGUACUUGCAUUCAAGAUUGCUGUGCCAGGAAGAAAGGUAGAGGGGAUACUUUUGUCAGGCGCACCUAACUACAUCAUUAUCAUACAUAUCACGAACCAACUGAUACUUUGUGGAAUCUGGGGGGG
rnacentral:lncRNA from 1 species